ACUCUAGGUCAGGCAGGAUCAUCCACUGAGUUUAAGCAUAUCAAUAAGUGGAGGAAAAGAAACUUACCAGGAUUCCCUUACUAACGGCGAGCGAACUGGGAAGAGCCCAGCUUGAGAAUCAGGUGCCUCCGGCAUCCGAAUUGUAGUCUGAAGAAGCAUCCUCAACGGCAGACCGGGCCUAAGUCCCCUGGAAAGGGGCGUCAGAGAGGGUGAAAGCCCCGUUGUGCCCAGACCCUGUCGCACUAUCUGCGAGUCGGGUUGUUCAGGAAUGCAGCCCCAAUCGGGUGAUAAAUUUCAUCCAAGGCUGAAUACGGGCAAAAGACCCAUAGGGAAUAAAUACCACUAGGGAAAGAUGAAAAGGACUUUGGAAAGAGAGUCAAAGAGUGCUUGAAAUUGUCAGGAGGGAAGUGGAUGGGGGCCGACGAUGCACCCCGAUCGGAUGUGGAACGACAAGAGUCGAUCCCUCGAUCGACUUGGGGCGUGGACCGACGCGGGUCACGAUGGUGACCCAAGCUCAGGCUUUCGAUGUGCCCAUGAAGAUGUCAUCACUGCGAUCGUGGAAUGCAGCACGCACCAUCUCAGCAUGCCCUGGCACCAGCAUGCUCCAAGCGUAGGCCUGCAGGCUCCUCAUCUGGCCCGUCUUGAAACACGGACCAAGGAGUCUGACAUACGUGUGAGUCAACAGGCCAGAAAACCCAUAGGUGCAAGAAAGCUGAUUUGCGAGAUCCUUCGUGGGUGCACCACCAACCGACCUUGAUCCUCUGAGAAGGGUUCGAGUGUGACCAUGCCCGUCGGGACCCGAAAGAUGGUGAACUAUGCCUUAGCGGGGUGAAUCCAAAGGAAACUUUGGUGGAGGCCCGUAGCGAUACUGACGUGCAAAUUGUUCGUCUGACUUGGGUAUAGGGGUGAAAGACUAAUCGAACCAUCUAGUAGCUGGUUCCCUCCGAAGUUUCCCUCAGGAUAGCUGGAGCCCCCGUCGAGUUCUAUCAGGUAAAGCCAAUGAUUAGAGGCAUCGGGGGCUCAAUGCCCUCGACCUAUUCUCAAACUUUAAAUAGGUAAGACGGCGCGACUACUCCAUUGAGCCGUGCCAUGGAAUCGAGAGCUCCAAGUGGGCCAUUUUUGGUAAGCAAAACUGGCAAUAUGGGAUGAACCGAAAGCUGGAUUACGGUGCCCAACUGCGCGCUAACCCAGAACCCACAAAGGGUGUUGGUAGAUUAAGACAGCAGGACGGUGGUCAUGGAAGUCAAAAUCUUCUAAAGAGUGUGUAACAACUCACCUGCCAAAUCAACUAGCCCCAAAAAUGGAUGGCACUUAAGCGCGCGACCUAUACCCAACCGUCAGGGCAAGGGCCAAGCCCCGAUGAGUAAGAGGGUGCGGUGAUCAUCGUAAAACCCAAGGCGCGAGCGCGGGCGGAGAGGCCGUCGGUGCAGAUCUUGGUGGUAGUAGCAAAUAUUCAAAUGAGAACUUUGAAGGCCGAAGAGAGGAAAGGUUCCAUGUGAACGGCACUUGCAGAUGGGUUAGUCGAUCCUAAGAGACGGGGAAAGCCCGUCCAACAACACGUCUCGUACGAGCUUCGAAAGGGAAACGGGUUAAAAUUCUUGAACCGGGACAUGACAGCUGACGGCAACAUUAGGGAGUCCAAAGACAUCGAUGGGGGCCUCGAGAAGAGUUAUCUUUUCUGUUUAACGGCCUGCCCACCCUAGAAACAGCUCAGCCAGAGGUAGGGUCCAGCGGUCAGAAGAGCAUCGCACGACACGUGGUAUCUGGUGCCCUUCCGGAGCCCUUGAAAAUCUGGAGGACUGAGUGCCGUUCAUGCCCGAUCGUAGUCAUAACCGCAUUAGGUCUCCAAGGUGAAUAGCCUCUGGUCGAUGGAACAAUGUAGGCAAGGGAAGUCGGUAAAAUGGAUCCGUAACCUCAAGAAAAAGAUAGGCUUUGAGGGCUGGGCACGGAGGUCCCAGUCUUGAACCUAUCGGUUAUUGAUGCACUGCUUGAGCUAUUCCCCAGUGAGAGCGAGUCACUGCGUACCAGCCGGGGGACGGACUGGGAACGGCUCCCUCGGGGGCCUUCUCUGGACGACGAACAGUCGACUCAAAACUGGUACGAACAAAGGGAAUCCGACUAUUUAAUUAAAACAAAGCAUUGCGAUGGUCCUUGUGGAUGCUCACGCAAUGUGAUUUCUGCCCAGUGCUCUGAAUGUUAAAGUGAAGAAAUUCAACCAAGCGCGGGUAAACGGCGGGAGUAACUAUGACUCUCUUAAGGUAGCCAAAUGCCUCGUCAUCUAAUUAGUGACGUGCAUGAAUGGAUUAACGAGAUUCCCACUGUCCCUGUCUACUAUCCAGCAAAACCACAGUCAAAGGAACGGGCUUGGCAGAAUCAGCGGGGAAAAAAGACCCUGUUGAGCUUGACUGUAGUCUGACUUUGUGAAAUGACUUAAGAGGUGUAGGAUAAGUGGGAGCUCCCGAGCGAAAUUGAAAUACCACUACUUUUAACGUUAUUUUACUUAUUCCAUGAAUCGGAGGCAGGGCACGACCCCUUCUUUUGGACCCAAGGCCGACCUUGGCCGAUUGAUCUGGGUGAAAGACAUUGUCAGGUGGAGAGUUUGGCUGGGGUGGCACAUCUGUUAAAAGAUAACGCAGGUGUCCUAAGAUGAGCUCAAUGAGAACAAAAAUCUCGUGUGGAACAAAAGGGUAAAAGCUCAUUUGAUUCUGAUUUCCAGUACGAAUACGAACCGUGAAAGCGUGGCCUAUCGAUCCUUUAAACUUUUAGGAUUUGAAGCUAGAGGUGUCAAAAAAGUUACCACAGGGAUAAGUCGCUUGUGGUAGCCAAGCGUUCAUAACGACGUUGCAUUUUGAUCCUUCGAUGUCGGCUCUUCCUAUCAUUGUGAAGCAGAAUUCACCAAGUGUUGGAUUGUUCACCCACCAAUAAGGAACGUGAGCUGGGUUUAGACCAUCGUGAGACAGGUUAGUUUUACCCUACUGAUGGUGGUGUUGUGAUAGUAAUUCAACCUAGUACGAGAGGAACCGUUGAUUCGCACAAUUGGUCAUCACGCUUGGUUGAAAAGCCAGUGGCGUGAAGCUACUAUGCACUAGAUUAUGACUGAAUGCCUCUAAGUUAGAAUCCAGUCUAGAAGUGACACGUGCACCCGUCGCCCGAUUGUCGACCCAUAAUAAGGGCCCAUGGCCCCAAGGGGCACGUGUCGUAGAUGCAGCCCCCGCAGCAGAUGAGCCGUACGGGCCUCUUUGGAGCUCAAUUCUCAUCGAGCGAUAGGUAGAAUC
rnacentral:rRNA from 1 species